CCCUUAGAUGUUCUGGGCCGCACGCGCGCUACACUGACGAAUGCAACGAGCUUAUAACCUUGGCCGAAAGGUCUGGGUAAUCUCCAAAUUUCGUCGUGAUGGGGAUAGAUUAUUGCAAUUAUUAAUCUUCAACGAGGAAUGCCUAGUAAGCGCAAGUCAUCAGCUUGCGUUGAUUACGUCCCUGCCCUUUGUACACACCGCCCGUCGCUCCUACCGAUUGAAUGGUCCGGUGAAGCGUUCGGACCGUGGCCUUUGGACGGUUCGCCGUCUGUUGGCUGCGGGAAGUUCGUUAAACCUUAUCAUUUAGAGGAAGGAGAAGUUGUAACA
rnacentral:rRNA from 1 species